UGGUGGAGUGAUUUGUCUGCUUAAUUGCGAUAACGAACGAGACCUUAACCUGCUAAAUAGCCCGUGCCGCCUUGGCGGCUCGCCGGCUUCUUAGAGGGACUAUCGGCUCAAGCCGAUGGAAGUUUGAGGCAAUAACA
rnacentral:rRNA from 1 species